rnacentral:rRNA from 1 species
AAUGCCUACGGGGGGCAGCAGUGGGGAAUAUUGCACAAUGGGGGAAACCCUGAUGCAGCAAUGCCGCGUGGGUGAAGAAGCACUCCGGUGCGUAAAGCCCUGUCAGCAGGGAAGAAAAUGACUGUACCUGACCAAGAAGCCCCGGCUAACUACGUGCCAGCAGCCGCGGUAAUACGUAGGGGGCAAGCGUUAUCCGGAUUUACUAGGUGUAAAGGGAGCGCAGGCGGUAUGGCAAGUCAGAUGUGAAAACCCGGGGCUCAACUCCGGGAGUGCAUUUGAAACUGUCCAGCUAGAGUGCAGGAGAG